GCGAAAAUUCACGAGGCGCAUAAAUUCAAUCUAUCAGAUGGCUUUUGCUGGUGACCACGGAUGUACUGGCACCCUGCUGAUGCGAUCAAGAAAGGGUCGGCGCGAGCAUUCGCCCGACCCUUUCUUUU
rnacentral:sRNA from 1 species